rnacentral:rRNA from 1 species
GACGAACGCUGGCGGCGUGCUUAACACAUGCAAGUCGAACGGAAAGGCCCUGCUUUUGUGGGGUGCUCGAGUGGCGAACGGGUGAGUAACACGUGAGUAACCUGCCCUUGACUUUGGGAUAACUUCAGGAAACUGGGGCUAAUACCGGAUAGGAGCUCCUGCUGCAUGGUGGGGGUUGGAAAGUUUGGGCGGGUGGGGAUGGACUCGCGGCUUAUCAGCUUGUGGGGGGGGUAGGGGCUUACCAAGGCUUUGAGGGGUAGCCGACCUGAGAGGGUGACCGGCCACAUGGAGUCUGAGAUGCGGCCGAGACUCCUACGGGGGACAGCAGUGGGAAAUAGUGCACAAGGGGCGAGAGCCUGACACAGCCACGCCGCGUGCGAUGUGGCGGCUUCCGUGUUGUAAACCUUUUUCGCCUGACACUGAGCGUGUGUCGCUGUAAUGUAUAAAGAAGCACCCUCUAUCCGCG